GAUGUUGGACAUAAAGAAAGUUUAGCAUACUAAUUGCCUUAUACGCUAGGACCAUGUUAGGCCGUUAUCACCCGAGUAGGCAAAUUUAAGGAUUUUUAUUAGUUUGAAGCGAGGGUUCGCUUCCUUAGUUAAAUUUAUCCGGGGAAUGCCCCGAAUGAUUUGUAUAUAUUUAAUUCUGGGGAAUACCCCAAAGUACUUGUAUUUGGAGGCCUAAAGUGAAACACAUAAUAUUUUAGUUUAGUUCUAUUUUUCUUUUACUAGGUGGGAGCGAACUCGAACCUCUUGUGUGUUUAUCUUUCUUUUCCGUGUUUGUUUCUCAAUUCGAAUAUUGUAAAAGCCAACAUGAUCGAGUAUGCAACCGUACUAGUUACGAUACUUGGGGAGUGCCUAACACCUUCUCCCCGAGUCAAAUGAACUCCCUUACCCAUAUCUCUGGUGUAGAUUUAGUUUUAGAGUUCAAAGAGUUUUAAAAGG
rnacentral:lncRNA from 1 species